AUUUAUUCAGGUCAUGAUAAGAGAGUUUGUACUGGCACCUAAUUGUGACACUGAAAUAGCUGGCCAGGGACAAGUUUAUAUAAAAUACUACGGCAGUGAAGAAUGUGCUUUGAUGGAUCCAGCUAGAGAUCUUUCACCGUUUGACCAUUGCUUUGAAAGAAGAAGUGCCAACCCUUCAGAUGAAUUUCAGGAAGCACUGAAACAGG